AAUAGCAGCUAGCUCUCUGUAACUCUCAUAUGGUCGCCCACUGAAGCUAAUGUAAGCAGGGGUUGUGCUUGGUCAGUACCUGGAUGGGAGACCACAUGGGUGAGCUAGUUUGCUGCCAAAA
rnacentral:rRNA from 1 species